rnacentral:lncRNA from 1 species
CUAACCCGAAUUUUAGAACAACCGUAUCAAAAUUCGAAAAUCGCAAAAAAAUGCGAUUUUGAGGGUCAACUUUAAAGGGGCAUAUCUCUCAGCACACAAGGAACUGGAAGGAGCUCAAACUAUCAAAAUUAAAGCUCUGUGAGUUAGCUUUCCAACGCAAUUUGUUUCGCCUCAUUCGGAGUUCGGACGAAGAAGUUAUGCCCAUUUUCGUAAAGUCUGUCCAGACGGAAAUGCAAUUUCCAGAAUCUAAAAUUACUGUUCACCCG